UACGGAGGAUGCAAGCGUUAUCCGGAAUGAUUGGGCGUAAAGCGUCCGCAGGUGGUGUUGUAAGUCUGUUGUUAAAGCGUGCGGCUUAACCGCAUAAGGGCGAUGGAAACUACAAGACUAGAGUGCGUUAGGGGUAGAGGGAAUUCCUGGUGUAGCGGUGAAAUGCGUAGAGAUCAGGAAGAACACCGGUGGCGAAAGCGCUCUACUAUGCCGCAACUGACACUGAGGGACGAUAGCUAGGGGAGCGAAUGGG
rnacentral:rRNA from 1 species